UACAGAGGUCCCGAGCGUUGUUCGGAUUCAUUGGGCGUAAAGGGUGCGUAGGCGGUUUUCUAAGUUUGAUGUGAAAUCCCGGGGCUCAACCCUGGAAUUGCAUUGAAUACUGGGAGACUAGAGUACUGGAGAGGAAACUGGAAUUUCCGGUGGAGCGGUGAAAUGCGUAGAGAUCGGAAAGAACACCAACGGCGAAAGCACUCUGCUGGGCCGACACUGACACUGAGAGACGAAAGCUAGGGGAGCGAAUGGG
rnacentral:rRNA from 1 species